AGUGAACGCUGGCGGUAGGCCUAACACAUGCAAGUCGAACGGCAGCACAGUAAGAGCUUGCUCUUACGGGUGGCGAGUGGCGGACGGGUGAGGAAUACAUCGGAAUCUACUUUUUCGUGGGGGAUAACGUAGGGAAACUUACGCUAAUACCGCAUACGUCCUACGGUUGAAAGCAGGGGAUCUUCGGACCUUGCGCUCUUGAAUGAGCCGAUGUCGGAUUAGCUAGUUGGCGGGGUAAAGGCCCACCAAGGCGACGAUCCGUAGCUGGUCUGCGAGGAUGAUCAGCCACACUAGAACUGAGACACGGUCCAGACUCCUACGGGAGGCAGCAGUGGGGAAUAUUGGACAAUGGGCGCAAGCCUGAUCCAGCCAUACCGCGUGGGUGAAGAAGGCCUUCGGGUUGUAAAGCCCUUUUGUUGGGAAAGAAAAGCAGCAGGUUAAUACCCCGCUGUUCUGACGGUACCCAAAGAAUAAGCACCGGCUAACUUCGUG
rnacentral:rRNA from 1 species